rnacentral:rRNA from 1 species
AUGCUUUAUUAUAAACCCUGUAUGUCAUCAGAAUGUAAAAUCUAUAUCCUCGCCUUAAAACCGACGUCGGUAAAAAAUUAAUACAACUUUCAACAACGGAUCUCUUGGCUCUGGCAUCGAUGAAGAACGCAGCGAAAUGCGAUAAGUAAUGUGAAUUGCAGAUUUUCAGUGAAUCAUCGAAUCUUUGAACGCACCUUGCGCUCCCUGGUAUUCCGGGGAGCAUGCCUGUUUGAGUGUCAUUAAAUUCUCAACCCCGAUCGGAUUUAUUUUCGCAUUCGGAGGCUUGGAUAGUGGAGUGUGCUGGCCCCCUCUCAUGGGUCGGCUCCUCUCAAAUGCAUUCGCGGAAUCGACUUUGGUCCAUUUCGGUCAUCAGUGUGAUAAAUGUUGCGCUGUUGGCUAGGAUCGAGGUGCCGCAUACAAUGGUCUUCGGACAAUUUUAUAAACAAAUUUGACCUCAAAUCAGGUAGGACUACCCGCUGAACUUAA